GAGUGACAAGAUGCCAUACCAUCUUUCGGGACUGACACAGCAAUGGAGAACUACUUUCUGUAUUACUGAUCAUUU
ensembl:snoRNA